AUACGUAGGGGGCGAGCGUUGUCCGGAAUGAUUGGGCGUAAAGGGCGCGUAGGCGGCCCGGUAAGUCUGGAGUGAAAGUCCUGUUUUUAAGAUGGGAAUUGCUUUGGAUACUGUCGGGCUUGAGUGCAGGAGAGGUAAGUGGAAUUCCCAGUGUAGCGGUGAAAUGCGUAGAGAUUGGGAGGAACACCAGUGGCGAAGGCGACUUACUGGACUGUAACUGACGCUGAGGCGCGAAAGUGUGGGGAGCAAACAGGAUUAGAUACCCUGGUAGUCCACACUGUAAACGAUGAAUGCUAGGUGUAGGGGGUAUCGACCCCUUCUGUGCCGCAGUCAACACAAUAAGUAUUCCGCCUGGGGAGUACGGCCGCAAGGUUGAAACUCAAAGGAAUUGGCGGGG
rnacentral:rRNA from 1 species